rnacentral:misc_RNA from 1 species
UGAACUAGCUUAAUACACUGUUUAUAUUUAUUUAUAUCUAUGAUUUAUAAAUUGAUAUAUAUAAAUUUAUUAAAUACGUAAUUCAUAGUUCAUUAAUAUUUUAAAUUAUAACAAUUAUAGUUGUUGAAUCAUUGGCGCGUGCUGGGGUUAUUAAAAAUAAAUUUUUUCUUUGUUUCUGAUUUACAUUUGUAAUUUUUAUAAAUUAAUUAAUUAUAUGGAAAAAGAGAAAAAGAUAAAUAUAGCUUUUGUUAAUACAGAAGAUUUUCAAUGAUCUAUGUUAACAAUAAAUUUUUAUAAAUAUUCAAACAUUCUAUUUUGAUAUUAAUAGAAUUUAGCAAACAUAUGUAAUCAUUGUUAAUUUAAGAAUUGUCAAAUUUCAUUUUUCGUAUUGCAAUUAUAUAAUAUCAAAAUGUUGACUCAAAAGUAUCUUCAUUUUAAUAAGAAAAUGUGUCAAACGUUACGUAAACAAUUAACAAAUGUAUAUUUUCAUAAAUACAAUCAUUCUAAAGCAACAGAUGUAAAUGAAGAUGAUAAUGAAAAGAUGACAUAUUUUGGUUUUAAAAAAGUCAAAGAAAACGAUAAAGCUAAAGAAGUUCAUACAGUGUUCGAAAGUAUUGCAGACAAUUACGACAAAAUGAACGAUAUAAUGAGUUUAGGUAUUCAUCGAAUUUGGAAAGAUAUAUUCAUUCAAGAAUUAGCACCUACGCAUGGAACUCGUUUAUUAGAUUGUGCUGCUGGGACUGGAGAUAUAGCGUUUAGAUAUUUAGAUUUUUUAAAAAAUACUAAGAACGUUAAUAACGUUGAAAGUUCUGUAAUGGUAACAGAUAUAAAUGAAAAUAUGCUAGAUGUUGGUAAAAUAAGAGCAGAAAGAUUAGGAUAUACGAAAGAGAAUAAUUUUAAUAUUGAAUGGAAGAAAGAAGAUGCAGAAAAUCUUAGCUUCCCCGAUGAAUCAUUUACAGCAUAUACGAUAGCAUUUGGUAUAAGAAAUGUUACUCACAUCGACAAGGUGUUAUCAGAAGCGUACAGAGUACUUGAACCUGGAGGUAGAUUUCUAUGUUUAGAAUUUACUCAUCUGGAAAAUGAUAUUUUACAAUGGCUUUAUGAACGAUACUCUUUUCAAGUUAUACCGGUGAUGGCUACAUUAGCCAUUGGACAAUGGGAACCUUAUCAGUAUCUUGCAGAAAGUAUACAGAAAUUUCCGAAACAAGAAGAUUUUAAACAUAUGAUAGAUAUAAGCGGUUUCAGAAAUACCAGUUAUAGAAAUUUAUCUCGUGGUAUAGUAGCUAUACAUUCAGGAUUUAAAAUUUAAAAAUGAUUAAAAUAUGAAUUAAAUUACCAGAAACAAUUUGAAAAUGGCGCCAAUUAUUAUGAUGCAGUUUGUCCAAACGAAAGCGUUUCUAUUGGUGAAUCAGAUAUACAUCGCAAAUUUUAGUAAGCCUAGUUCACAAAUAUUUUUUGCAAAAUCGCAGUCUAGUAUAAGAUAGAUAUCAGUACUUUUAGUUCUAGAUUAUAACAUACCACGAAAUAUUAAAAAUGGCUAUGUAAUAGUAUUGUAAAAGGUCUGUAUCAUUCCUAUUAAAAAAACACGGAUAGUGAUCUAUAUAAUAAUAUUCGUUAUGAAGUUAUAACUGUCUACAGUAUUUUCAAAUAAUUUUGGAGAUGAG